UGCAUUUUAAUCAGCCUGUUAUCAUUAUACUCCCGUUCAUGGAAUCUUCAUGCGAUAAUGGACAUUAUAAUGCAAGAACUGACUAAUAACAAAAUGCUUUUGAAGUGCGACAUUUGGUUUGGAAAAGUUCAUAAGCAUAAGGAGAAGUAAGUAGGUUUGGGCUAGGCUGUAUAUUUACCCAUGUUUUAAAUGUUUAUGGGAACCUCUAACAUUUUAAAAAUAAAUCAUCACUUAUAAAACGAGUUUACUCUUGGAGAAAAACAUUCUUGUAAUAGGCACAAAAAUUAUCCAGACAGUAGUGUAAACCAAGCCAGGCAUAGCAGCAGACAGAAAAAUGCAUUCAACCAGUAGGAUCAUGGAUUUGUUUGAUUCAGAUAAUUGAAAGUGUUUCAUACUAUUAUUGCAACUUGAAGGCUUGUUUAACUGUCUAACUGUCAGUCACUUUGG
rnacentral:lncRNA from 1 species